AUUGGGGAGGUAAGGUCCCUCAGCCCGGAUUGUGAGAGGGCGCAGGCCAGGUCGAGGGACCCCACCAGUGCACG
rnacentral:pre_miRNA from 1 species